rnacentral:lncRNA from 1 species
CCAAUUCUAAAUGGAGGGGUGGUCUCCUCUCUCAGGAAUUACAGGAAAAUAAAAUAGUCUCAGAGUCAUUAGAGCCUCAAAACCUAAACACAAGCCAUAUCUGGAAGACAUCUCUGAAAAGCAAUCAUUCCACAAGAGUUUUAAACAUAAGCAACAAAGAUACCUGCAUUAAGCAAUUUUGAAAUAUCAACCAAAGAAUUGAACCAAGAACAGUACCAAAAAAAAAAAUGAGAAGACAUUUAAGCAGGGAAC